UACAGAGGUCUCAAGCGUUGUUCGGAUUCAUUGGGCGUAAAGGGUGCGUAGGCGGCGCGGUAAGUCGGGUGUGAAAUCUCGGGGCUUAACUCCGAAACUGCAUUCGAUACUACCGGGCUUGAGUACUGGAGAGGAGACUGGAAUUUACGGUGUAGCGGUGAAAUGCGUAGAUAUCGUGAAGAAGACCCGUGGCGAAGGCGGGUCUCUGGACAGUUCCUGACGCUGAGGCGCGAAGGCCAGGGGAGCAAACGGG
rnacentral:rRNA from 1 species